CCUACGGGGGGCAGCAGUGGGGAAUAUUGCACAAUGGGGGAAACCCUGAUGCAGCAACGCCGCGUGAGCGAUGAAGGCCUUCGGGUCGUAAAGCUCUGUCCUAAGGGAAGAAUACUGACGGUACCUGAGGAGGAAGCACCGGCUAACUACGUGCCAGCAGCCGCAGUAAUACGUAGGGGGCUAGCUUUAUACGGAAUUACUGGGCGUAACGGGGGCGUAGGCGGCUCUUCAAGUUAGAGGUGAGUGGAUACGGCUCAAACGUAGUAAGCCUUUGAAACUGUAGGGGUUGAGUGCAGGAGAGGGGAGUGGAAUUCCCAGUGUAGCGGUGAAAUGCGUGGCGAUUGGGUGGAACACCAGUUGCGAAGGCGGCUCUCUGGACUGGAACUGUCGCUGAGGCACGAAAGCGUGGGUAGCGAACAGGAUUAGAUACCCGUGUAGUC
rnacentral:rRNA from 1 species